UGAGGAAUCUGUCCAUCGGCGGGGGAUAGCCGGCCCAACGGCCGGGUAAUACCGCGUACGUCGGCGGAAGCGCAUGCUUCUGCCGGGAAAGCAGCAAUGCACCGGUGGAGGACCUCGCGGCCUAUCAGCUUGUUGGCGGGGUAAUGGCCCACCAAGGCGACGACGGGUAGCUGGUCUGAGAGGAUGAUCGGCCACAUUGGGACUGAGACACGGUCCAAACCUCCGUACGGGGAGGCAGC
rnacentral:rRNA from 1 species